AUGAACCAAGAAAAUAAAAGGCAUCAAUUAUUGAACAGUGCCAGCUAUGCAUACAAGGAACCAAAAUAUGAAUAUCAAUUUCGGCCCCCUGAUUGCCUGAAACCGCCGCCGGCGGCUGUGGCGAACUGGAUUAGUAGGGGAGGGGGCGACAGUGGGACGGGUGCCAUAAUCAGAGACGAUCUUGGAAGGUUUGUAGCAGCGGGAUGUUGUGGUAUACCGUUCGUGGACGACGCUGCCACAGCUGAAGCUCAAGCCCUUCUGAACAGACUAAUUCUUGCGGGACAAGUGGGAUGUAACAGGAUCAUGGUCGAAUCAGAUUGCAUGGAGGUUGUCGAUAUAAUGGAGCAUGGCGACAACUCCAUAGGACCAGCAGCGGCGAUUUACGAGGAGUGCUCCUUUCUAGCUUACAAUUUUGAUCAUGUCAUAAUAAAUUAA
rnacentral:rRNA from 1 species